rnacentral:rRNA from 1 species
GACGAACGCCGGCGGCGUGCUUAACACAUGCAAGUCGAACGAAGUGGCGAACGGGUGAGUAACGCGUAAUCAACCUGCCCUUCAGAGGGGGACAACAGUUGGAAACGACUGCUAAUACCGCAGACUGACGGCGGGGAUUGAGUCGGAUUAGCUAGUUGGAGGGGUAACGGCCCACUAAGGCGAAGAUCAGUAGCCGGUCUGAGAGGAUGAACGGCCACAUUGGGACUGAGACACGGCCCAGACUCCUACGGGAGGCAGCAGUGGGGAAUCUUCCGCAAUAGACGAAAGUCUGACGAAGCAACGCCGCGUGAGUGAUGACGGCCUUCGGGUUGUAAAGCUCUGUUAAUCGGGACGCGGUACCGGAAUAGAAAGCCACGGCUAACUACGUGCCAGCCGCCGCGGUAAUAC